ensembl:lncRNA
AUGAACUCAGUUGUCUCUUUUAAAUCGUUCAACACCCAAAAAAGAUAAUAUGAAGUUACGUCAAACGACUUUGAAUUAAUUUCAAGCUUAAAGAUGAGCUAGCCAAUCGAUGCACAUCACUGUACACAGAGCACUUAUAAAUCCACAAGGAUUUUCAAAUGGGUCUAUAACUUAAGAUGCUUUGGAACAUUUCACGACACCAUUGGAUCAGAACGUUUAAGACAUUCUUCGUGCGAGAUUAAGAACCUUCCAUUUUCCCAUUCAGUGUUAUAAAAUGUAAUUAACCAGACUGAAAAAAAAAUGUUAGUAGUUUGACAGAAGACUAUAUAGUGCUAGAAUUAAAAAAAACUGUUAGUUUUUUAUUAGUUGCCUGUAAGUUUUUUUUUUUUAAUUAGUUGCCUGUAAAUUAGCUUUAUAUGGUGAAAACCGAUAUAAUUUAACCAGACAAUCCAUGUACUUUUAAGGGUUGUUGCAAUACGAUUCACCUGUUGGGGGUGCUCCAGGACCAGUAUUGGGAAACACAGUUGCAGCAGAAGUGGGAUCUUCUGUGGUCUUCUACUGUACAUCAAACACGAAAAUACCACGUAUUGUACACGAAAAGUGAACAGCAGAGGGAGCUACUUUCCCAUCAUUGUCUCAUCCUGAGGACGUUAAAUGGAAACCCUAAGACUGCAAUGGAAAGUUUCCCGAUGCGACAAUGAAGAGGUUCAAUAAAGUAGAAACUUAGGCAUAGUCUUUUGGUGAAGAAUGUCAAAAUUACACCGCCAUGCCUCUGCAACCAAAUUCAGAAACACAAUUGGUUUGUUCGUGAUGAUCGGUACAAACGUAAAAAGAAGUUGGAAAUUAAAGUAAAUAAAUAAUAAUAAAAAACCCAUAUAUAAAUAAAUAAUACAUUUUAAAUGACUGUGGGAUAGGCCUACAGCAUUUUCAGUAGCUGAAUUAAACAGUUGUCCGUGUACAAUAGGCUAUAUGAAAUAUAGAAUGAAAACAUUCGUGUUCAUUUUUGAUGUAAAAAAAAAAAUAAAAAUAGGGUGAACUAGGUUGGAAUGUAAUCUUUAAUGCUAAUCAAGUACAGGUGGAGAAACUAAAAGCUGUCGAUGUGAUCGAUGCUUAAAACCAUCGUAAAUAUUGUUGGUUUUGUCCCUCUAAAUCCUGAACUGGCCCCAAAACACCCAUCGUUAAUCUCCAAAAGUCCUCAUUACGGUCGGAUUUAAGUUACAGGAGCAGCCAACCUUUCAGAGGUGUUAACUUGCAAAGCAGUUUAACAGUGUCAAUUCCAUUCGGUAGAUAAAAGUUAUGGUUAUCAGUUGAUCCUUUUAAACUGUAAAUAAUAACUUUUAAUUGGGUAAUGUAAUCCAGACAUUUGUAUACAAAUGACAAAAUUAAUAAUUUAUGCAACAACGUAGGCUACUCUUAUAAACGUAACUUAAACUUUUUGGAAUCUUAUAGCAAAUCGAUUUUUACUCAGUAACAACGUAGAUAAUUGACUGGUUUAUUGUAGUUUAUUUUUUAAAUUAUUAUUAUUGUUAUUUUGUUUCCAUUAACUGCCACAUUAACGCGACCAGUUUUAUUUAAGACGCGUACAAACUGCAGUGUUAUAGAUGCUUGUGACAUGCUGUCACUGACAGAGCAGAG